rnacentral:tRNA from 1 species
GGUGGCUCAGUGGUAGAGCACUUGCCUUGCAUGCAUGAGGUCCUGGGUUCGAUCCUCAGCACCA